GCUGCGGUGCCGGAGUGGACAAUCGGAACAGACUGUAAAUCUGUCGCCCGUUCGGGCUACGGAAGUUCGAAUCUUCCCCGCAGCACAA
rnacentral:tRNA from 1 species